rnacentral:rRNA from 1 species
UACGUAGGGGGCAAGCGUUGUCCGGAUUUAUUGGGCGUAAAGAGCGUGUAGGCGGUUAGGUAGGUCCGUUGUGAAAACUCGAGGCUCAACCUCGAGACGCCGAUGGAAACCAUCUGACUAGAGUCCGGAAGAGGAGAGUGGAAUUCCUGGUGUAGCGGUGAAAUGCGCAGAUAUCAGGAAGAACACCCGUGGCAAGGCGGCUCUCUAGUACGGUACUGACGCUGAGACGCGAAAGCGUGGGGAGCGAACAGG